rnacentral:rRNA from 1 species
CCGAUCGGAUGAACUAUGCCAUGCGAGUCAUUGUAGUAAUACAAGGCAGACGGCUCAGUAACGCGUAGCUCACACCUAACCUAUGGACGGGAAUAACCUCGGGAAACUGAGUAUAAUGCCCGAUAGAACAUUAUGCCUGGAAUGGUUUAUGUUCCAAAUGAUUUAUCGCCGUAGGAUGGGACUGCGGCCUAUCAGUUUGUUGGUGAGGUAAUGGCCCACCAAGACUAUUACAGGUACGGGCUCUGAGAGGAGUAGCCCGGAGAUGGGUACUGAGACACGGACCCAGGCCCUAUGGGGCGCAGCAGGCGAGAAAACUUUGCAAUGUGCGAAAGCACGACAAGGUUAAUCCGAGUGGUUUCUGCUAAAGGAACCUUUUGUCGGUCCUAGAAACACCGAUGAAUAAGGGGUGGGCAAGUUCUGGUGUCAGCCGCCGCGGUAAAACCAGCACCUCAAGUGGUCAGGAUGAUUAUUGGGCCUAAAGCAUCCGUAGCCGGCUUUGUUAGUUUUCGGUUAAAUCUGUACGCUCAACGUACAGGCUGCCGGGAAUACUGCAGAGCUAGGGAGUGGGAGAGGUAGACGGUACUCGGUAGGAAGGGGUAAAAUCCUUUGAUCUAUUGAUGACCACCUGUGGCGAAGGCGGUCUACCAGAACACGUCCGACGGUGAGGGAUGAAAGCUGGGGGAGCAAACCGGAUUAGAUACCCGGGUAGUCCCAGCUGUAAACUAUGCAAACUCAGUGAUGCAUUGGCUUGUGGCCAAUGCAGUGCUGCAGGGAAGCCGUUAAGUUUGCCGCCUGGGAAGUACGUACGCAAGUAUGAAACUCAAAUGAAUUGACGG